UACGAAGGGGGCUAGCGUUGCUCGGAAUGACUGGGCGUAAAGGGCGCGUAGGCGGAUGGCAUAGUCAGAUGUGAAAUUCCCGGGCUUAACCCGGGGACUGCAUUUGAUACGUGUCGUCUUGAGUUCGUAAGAGGGUCGUGGAAUUCCCAGUGUAGAGGUGAAAUUCGUAGAUAUCGGGAGGAACACCAGUGGCGAAGGCGACUUUCUGGCCUGUUCUUGACGCUGAGGCGCGAAAGCUAGGGUAGCAAACGGG
rnacentral:rRNA from 1 species